rnacentral:rRNA from 1 species
CUGACGGAGCACGCCGCGUGAGUGAUGAAGGUCUUCGGAUCGUAAAACUCUGUUAUUAGGGAAGAACAUACGUGUAAGUAACUAUGCACGUCUUGACGGUACCUAAUCAGAAAGCCACGGCUAACUACGUGCCAGCAGCCGCGGUAAUACGUAGGUGGCAAGCGUUAUCCGGAAUUAUUGGGCGUAAAGCGCGCGUAGGCGGUUUUUUAAGUCUGAUGUGAAAGCCCACGGCUCAACCGUGGAGGGUCAUUGGAAACUGGAAAACUUGAGUGCAGAAGAGGAAAGUGGAAUUCCAUGUGUAGCGGUGAAAUGCGCAGAGAUAUGGAGGAACACCAGUGGCGAAGGCGACUUUCUGGUCUGUAACUGACGCUGAUGUGCGAAAGCGUGGGGAUCAAACAGGAUUAGAUACCCC